ensembl:snRNA U6 U6 spliceosomal RNA
UUGCUUGCUUUGGCAGCACAUAUACAAUAAUUGGAGCAAUACAGAGAAGAUUAGCAUGGCUCCUGCACACAGAUGAGAUCUUUCACUUCCCUGAUUAGCUGUAUUCCU